rnacentral:rRNA from 1 species
GACGAACGCUGGCGGCGUGCUUAACACAUGCAAGUCGAACGGAAAGGCCCUGCUUUUGUGGGGUGCUCGAGUGGCGAACGGGUGAGUAACACGUGAGUAACCUGCCCUUGACUUUGGGAUAACUUCAGGAAACUGGGGCUAAUACCGGAUAGGAGCUCCUGCUGCAUGGUGGGGGUUGGAAAGUUUCGGCGGUUGGGGAUGGACUCGCGGCUUAUCAGCUUGUUGGUGGGGUAGUGGCUUACCAAGGCUUUGACGGGUAGCCGGCCUGAGAGGGUGACCGGCCACAUUGGGACUGAGAUACGGACCAGACUCCUACGGGAGGCAGCAGUGGGGAAUAUUGCACAAUGGGCGGAAGCCUGAUGCAGCAACGCCGCGUGUGGGAUGACGGCCUUCGGGUUGUAAACCGCUUUCGCCUGUGACGAAGCGUGAGUGACGGUAAUGGGUAAAGAAGCACCGGCUAACUACGUG